GAUGAACGCUGGCGGCGUGCUUAACACAUGCAAGUCGAACGGGAAACCUUUUAUUGAAUCUUCGGCAGAUUUAGCUGGUUUCUAGUGGCGGACGGGUGAGUAACGCGUGGGUAACCUGCCUUAUACAGGGGGAUAACAGUCAGAAAUGGCUGCUAAUACCGCAUAAGCGCACAGAGCUGCAUGGCUCAGUGUGAAAAACUCCGGUGGUAUAAGAUGGACCCGCGUUGGAUUAGCUGGUUGGUGGGGUAACGGCCCACCAAGGCGACGAUCCAUAGCCGGCCUGGGAGGGUGAACGGGCACAUUGGGACUGAGACACGGCCCAGACGCAUGCGGGAGGCAGCAGUGGGGAAUAAUGCACGAUGGGGGAAACCCUGAUGCAGCGACGCCGCGUGAAGGAAGAAGUAUCUCGGUAUGUAAACUUCUAUGAGCAGGGAAGAUGAUGACGGUACCUGACUAAGAAGCCCCGGCUAACUACGU
rnacentral:rRNA from 1 species